AGCAGCUGCGGUAAUUCCAGCUCCAAUAGCGUAUAUUAAAGUUGUUGCAGUUAAAAAGCUCGUAGUUGAAUUUCGGGAUCAAUUUAUUGGUCGUGCUAUUGUACGUACUGGUAUUAUUGAUUCCUACCUUCUGACGAACCAUGAUGUCAUUAAUUUGGUGUUAUGGGGAAUCAGGACUGUUACUUUGAAAAAAUUAGAGUGUUUAAAGCAGGCUCACGCUUGAAUACAUUAGCAUGGAAUAACGAAAUAGGACGUUUGAUUCUAUUUUGUUGGUUUCUAGGAUCGACGUAAUGAUUAAUAGGGAUAGUUGGGGGGCAUUAGUAUUCAAUUGUCAGAGGUGAAAUUCUUGGAUUUAUUGAAGACU
rnacentral:rRNA from 1 species